UGGUACUACUUACUAUCGUGAUUUUGGAUUAUUCGUCAUAGUUGAUUGUUCUUGCACAUAUCAUCUAGGUGUAUGGAAUGCUUGAUAACGACAAAUGACUCAUCGUAUUCACUUUACACUUCAAACAUUGAUCUAGAUUUUGUCCCUUGUUCUGAUUUAGUUUGUCAUGUUCUACAUAUUGUUAGGCGUAUCCAGAUUGGCAUACUUAAGGGAACAAACUAUGUAAUCUUGUGUGAGUCGUUGAGAUAGAUCACACUAUUAAUGUGAAGAUUGUUCUAGACAGCGUUUUCUCUGAACUAACUCGAUAUUUUUUGCACAAUAUAUUUAUAAGAUGGAUAAGCAUUCAUGAAUCAUCAUAUUACAUUUUCAUAUGGAGCGGUUGUAUUGUCAUAUGAGUUAUUAAUACAAAACGAAUUGUUAGGGCUUUGCACGGCUUGAUCGAUUCACUCCACGUAGACAUGAACAUUUCUUUUGGAUUUUUGUCGUUAGUUGAUCUCAGUUUGUAUAUAUUGUUUCAAAUUGUUCAGAUAGUCUCCAGGUUUCUUUUAUUGAAUUUACUACCGCCAGUAUAGAAAGCUAUUAGUACUAUGAUUGUUGAUACUGAUACGGAACAAAAAGGGAAGGCUGAGCGACAUACAGUUGAUUUUUUCUGGUAAUUAUAGAAGUGUAUUUUUUUCUAUUUUCUUUUAAGCAAGGAACCUACAGAAAAGAAAUGAAAUUUGUUCUACUUCUACCUGAUACGUGAAUAAAUGAAUUUAGGACUUAGCAUGCCUAACUGAAUGGGAACCUGCCGCCAUCAUGCAGCAAACACAAGCCAUACUGCCAAUACACUUGGCUCAUGCAACAUGCAUCCAUGAACAAAAGAAGAGCCUAUCGAUUGAUGGAAAGCGAAGUUUCUAACAAGGCCAAAAACACGACUACAUCCUCCUCCAUGUUGCUUCUCGGAGGCUAAUUAUAAUUGAAACUCCUGUUAAUCACACAUGAUGUCAUGCUAGAUUCGUGCAGAAUUUGCCGGAUCGAUUGAUCAGGAUUUGACCCUUGGAUUUUUAAUCAUGUACGUAGUAAUUUUCGUUGUACAUGGAUUAGUCAAGAUAUAGUCGAUCCACCAUCAUUACUGUGAAUCAGUAUUACAGAUUCAGAACAGGUCUUUGUCAGCGAAGGAAGUAGGAGUACCAUACAGGAAAAAGCCAGAGAGACCUCACUCUCACACAUCCACUCUCCACCUGCCUGCCUGGCUGUUAACAGUUCUUCUCCUCCUUCCUGUUGAUGUUGUGUUGAAAUACCUAACUAGCUAGCUAGCAAAUCGUAGUUGUCCUUCUCUAAAACACUGUAGAAAGUCCUAUGCAUGUAGUUUAUUAAGCAAGUGAAAUUUUAAAAGAUAAACUAUUCUGAA